UACGUAGGUGGCAAGCGUUUGUCCGGAAUUAUUGGGCGUAAAGCGCGCGCAGGCGGCUUCUUAAGUCUGAUGCGAAAUCUCGGGGCUCAACCCCGAGCGGCCAUUGGAAACUGGGAAGCUUGAGUACAGAAGAGGAGAGUGGAAUUCCACGUGUAGCGGUGAAAUGCGUAGAUAUGUGGAGGAACACCAGUGGCGAAGGCGACUCUCUGGUCUGUAACUGACGCUGAGGCGCGAAAGCGUGGGGAGCAAACAGG
rnacentral:rRNA from 1 species